UUCCAUGCAGUUUGAUGUUUUUGUCAAACAGCGACCCCUAGAGUCACUGGGGAAAACUUGCAACUGUCGUAAUUUCGCACGCCCACUCUGUAUGUACCUGUUAGGAUAGUGUUGGGCGUGAGAUGGACUUCGAAGAUAAUGACCAGGGAAUGUUUCACAGUUUCAUACAAAUAUUAGGCUACUGCAUGUCUACUAAACUACAGAUGAUGGUAAUAGGAUAAUAUGAAGUUUAUGCCAAGUGUAGAGUAGGCAUAUAAUAAUAAAAGUAGCCUACCGCGUUUGCUGGCUUAUUACGUUUUUACAAGAUUGCAGCUUAAUCACAAGUAAACAGUCUAUAGUCUAACGUUAUGUCUACUGUAUAAUUUCAUUUGUUUUUUAAUUGUAAUGUAAACAUUACAAAAUGUAUUGACAAAGUUAAUUGUAUACGUUGCAUUAUUUCAUAACAUUGGCCGUUAUUCGUUGGCCAUAAGCAAUCGAAAUUAGACAAAUGACUACGUACACAUCACAACACAACACUUGAGUUUAGAUGGCCAAAAAAAACAUGUAAGAGAAACGAGUGUUUGUUAGCAAGUCUGCUAAAUGCUCUUAUGAUCGUAAGCUAGCUAGACCCUUGUUGAAGUUAUUUUACUGGUCUAAUUAUCAACACUGGAUGAAUGAACAGCUUAGUAAAAAAAUACACACUACAAGCAAGCGCAACCACAUACAACAUAGACCGCAAACAAAUUUACAAAUAAAAGAUUAACUUACUUCUCCAUCAACAAGAUCGCCAGAUCAGCAUCCCUUUUGCAUCCAGGGCUGUCUAUUAGCCCACGCCAACGAGUAAAAACCUGACCGCGUGGGACUCUUGUCCGGUUCCUAACUCGGUCAGAUUCUCUUUUUCGCUUUCUACUCUCUUCCGAACGGAUUUUCUUAGCUGUUUCCCUCAUCGAGCAUCACGUCUCAAAUGCGCGCGUGCAGUUGUUGUUACAGGCUUGUUGUUACAGGCUUGUUUGACUUCGUGCAGCGCUGCAGGAACCAACAGCCGGAUGACGUCAAAGUGCCGUCUCGGAUCAUUCUCGCGGUACUUUUACGUCAUCCGACUGCCGGUUCUUGCAGCGCUGCACGAAGUUGAACAAGCCUAACGUGUGUGACGUCGUUGCCGUAAAGCAAGUCGUGAUUCUCGCGAGAUUUGUCAGGGGCGGUUCUCUCAAGCUUGCAUUGCUGGUUUUGGUAGCGGCGUCCUUCCCGAGCUUCAACAGGGGGAUGAUUCGCCAUACUAUGACUUCGUUUACCAUCGAAAUGACUUUGAAGCUGUUAUAUUAAGGAACUUGAAAAUGUUGAAUUGGGCAAAAAUGCAAGAGGACUCUAGGGUACAACAAGAUAAAAACUUGUUUUUUAUUUCUCCAACAACUCAAUAGAUGAGAUAACCUUUCUGCUUGUUGGUUGGGAAAUACAGAAUACCUUAUAUCUACAGUACACAGUCACUACUGUACAGGACAGUACUCCUGCUCGUCUUUCUGCACCCCCACAGAACACAUGAGGUUAGUACCCACCUUAAUUUACAUUAUUUUCUUAAGCAACUUCUGUAAUAAUUUUCCUUCACACAAAUUGUGUUGCUCCAUCAAUAAAUAAUAAACAGAAGUAAAAUAUAUAUGUGACCCCUGG